rnacentral:rRNA from 1 species
UACGUAGGGCGCAAGCGUUGUCCGGAUUCACUGGGUGUAAAGGGUGCGUAGGCGGGAAGGUAAGUCCGCGGUGAAAUCUCACAGCUCAACUGUGAAACUGCCGUUGAUACUGCUUUUCUUGAGUUCGGGAGAGGUUGAUGGAAUUCCAGGUGUAGCGGUGAAAUGCGUAGAUAUCGUAAGGAAGACCAGUGGCGAAGGCGAAUCUCUGGACAGUUACUGACACUGAGGCACGAAGGCCAGGGGAGCAAACGGG